GACGAACGCUGGCGGCGUGCUUAACACAUGCAAGUCGAACGGAAAGGCCCUGCUUUUGUGGGGUGCUCGAGUGGCGAACGGGUGAGUAACACGUGAGUAACCUGCCCUUGACUUUGGGAUAACUUCAGGAAACUGGGGCUAAUACCGGAUAGGAGCUCCUGCUGCAUGGUGGGGGUUGGAAAGUUUCGGCGGUUGGGGAUGGACUCGCGGCUUAUCAGCUUGUUGGUGGGGUAGUGGCUUACCAAGGCUUUGACGGGUAGCCGGCCUGAGAGGGUGACCGACCACAUUGGGACUGAGAUACGGCCCAGACUCCUACGGGAGGCAGCAGUGGGGAAUAUUGCACAAUGGGCGGAAGCCUGAUGCAGCAACGCCGCGUGCGGGAUGACGGCCUUCGGGUUGUAACCGCUUUCGCCUGUGACGAAGCGUGAGUGACGGUAAUGGGUAAAGAAGCACCGGCUAACUACGUG
rnacentral:rRNA from 1 species